rnacentral:lncRNA from 1 species
AAUUCACAUGUUGCAUGAAAUUGUGCCUUUUUAAUAAAUAAAUGAAGCAGAGUUUAGCUCUCCUGGCUGAUGUCCUGCUCUGGUUCUGUUCUGCAGAUCCUUGCUGACGAUGGUGGUCGCUGGAGGCAGCACUGUUGAAGAUUAUAUCAUUUACAGACAAGAUCUCUGAAAUCUGUUUCCUUCAGACAGCAAAGGAAGAAGAGGCUUUAUCGCAACAAAACGGGCAAAAAAAACACAAACACUUGAAGAAACAGCACUUCUCUAAUUCUUCCCAAAAAGCUCCCAGAACCACCAAAUCCUAAAGGAUUACACCCAGCAGUCUUCCUGAUUCCAGCUUGGAGUGAACAAGAUGAACAGUCCCACCUUCAAUCUAAUGCUUAAUGAGGAAAAAGGCUGUUUGAUUGGAGCCAAGGAGUCAGCAAAGAACCUCAGGAAGACAACCUGGAUCAUGACCAGAAGAUAAAAAGAAAACAAAAAAAGAAUGUGGCAUAUAAAGGGUGUAAUACCUGGAGGUAUUGGAUCUGACUCAUGUUUAUAAAAAUGAGACGAGCUUUCACAAAACACAAGUUAUCUUAGACAGUCAUCAAGCUUGGAGCCAUCAUGCUGUUGAACUAGAAAUUCUCCUUUUCCCCAUUCUCCUUUCUGACAGGUAACAAAGGAUUGGUGAAUUAUGAUUUUCCCAAGUUGGAAGCACUAAUUUUUAUCUAUAUAGUUCAUCCUUAUGAAUAUAUAAGGAGUUAAACAUUGCAUAUUUAAUGUGGAUUAUAAUGGGAAAGUGACUCAUUAACCAAAAUGGCCACUUUUAAGGACUUGGUUUCAAACUGAGCUGGAGCCUCCCGAUGCACUUUGUAGGAUUUGGGGAAAGCUGUGCUGCAGGGCCUGCUUUGGGAGGCCAGGAUGACAUGUAGUAAAAGGAUAUCACCUUGCUGUUGAUAUCUCUGAAGAC